rnacentral:rRNA from 1 species
ACUCCUACGGGAGGCAGCAGUGGGGAAUAUUGGACAAUGGGCGCAAGCCUGAUCCAGCCAUGCCGCGUGAGUGAUGAAGGCCCUAGGGUUGUAAAGCUCUUUCACCGGUGAAGAUAAUGACGGUAACCGGAGAAGAAGCCCCGGCUAACUUCGUGCCAGCAGCCGCGGUAAUACGAAGGGGGCUAGCGUUGUUCGGAUUUACUGGGCGUAAAGCGCACGUAGGCGGACUAUUAAGUCAGGGGUGAAAUCCCGGGGCUCAACCCCGGAACUGCCUUUGAUACUGGUAGUCUAGAGUUCGAGAGAGGUGAGUGGAAUUCCGAGUGUAGAGGUGAAAUUCGUAGAUAUUCGGAGGAACACCAGUGGCGAAGGCGGCUCACUGGCUCGAUACUGACGCUGAGGUGCGAAAGCGUGGGGAGCAAACAGGAUUAGAUACCCUAGUAGUCCC